rnacentral:rRNA from 1 species
UACGUAGGGUGCAAGCGUUAAUCGGAAUUACUGGGCGUAAAGCGUGCGCAGGCGGUUUUGUAAGUCUGUCGUGAAAGCCCCGGGCUCAACCUGGGAAUUGCGAUGGAGACUGCAAGGCUUGAAUCUGGCAGAGGGGGGUAGAAUUCCACGUGUAGCAGUGAAAUUCGUAGAGAUGUGGAGGAACACCGAUGGCGAAGGCAGCCCCCUGGGUCAAGAUUGACGCUCAUGCACGAAAGCGUGGGGAGCAAACAGG